AGAUUGCUAAGAACUUGAAAAAAUACAGCAAGAAGUAUGAAGCAGAGGAUCAAGAUGUUUCAUUGCUGUUGAGUGAGCAAGAUCGUGAGAAGCGAAAGAAGCUGAAAGAAGAAUGGGAAGCAUGGAUUAAUGAGUGGAAGCAGUUGCAUGAAGAGGAGAAAAUGGAAAGGGAAAGGUUGCGUGAUGGGGAAGCCAGUGAUGAAGAGGAGGAAUACCAGGCAAAGGAAGUUGAAGUAGAGGAAAUACUAAAAGUUGAAGAGGAGGUUAUUCCUUUUGAAGAGAGCCA
rnacentral:lncRNA from 1 species